rfam:Zea mays cultivar B73 chromosome 4, whole genome shotgun sequence.
CUAAUCGACGAUGACGAAUUGAUCUCCAACAACCCCAUCGACCUCGACUACAAGUGCAACCUAGUCAUCACCACACUUGCAAAGGAUCAUCUCACCAUCAACGAGGUGUAUUCACAACUAGUCAGCUUUGAGA